rnacentral:rRNA from 2 species
GCGAAACGGAAAAGGGCGCACGGUGGAUGCCUGGGCUUCCGGAGGCGAUGAAGGACGCGGCGAGCGGCGAAACUCCCCGGGGAUCGGCAAGCGCGAAAUGAUCCGGGGGUGUCCGAAUGGGGCAACCCACGCGCAGUGAGUGCGCGUACGCCGAAAGGCGGGCGAACGCGGGGAACCGAAACAUCCCAGUACCCGCAGGAGGAGAAAGAAA